rnacentral:rRNA from 1 species
AUUGAACGCUGGCGGCAGGCCUAACACAUGCAAGUCGAGCGAGCGGCGGACGGUUGAGGAAUGUAUGGGGACUGCCCGAUAGAGGGGGAUAACUACUGGAAACGGUAGCUAAUACCGCAUACUAUCGGAUAACCCAUAUGGGAUUAGCUAGUAGGUGCGGUAAUGGCUCACCUAGUCGACGAUCCCUAUCUGGUCUGAGAGGAUGAUCAGCCACACUGGGACUGGGACACGGCCCAGACUCCUGCGGAGUCAGCAGUGGGGAAUAUUUCACAAUGUGCGCAAGCCUGAUGCAGCCAUGCCGCGUGUAUGAAGAAGGCCCUAGGGUUGUAAAGUACUUUCAGUCGGGAGGCGUUACCGACAGAAGAAGCACCGGCUAACUCCGUGCCAGCAGCCGCGGUAAUUC